CCAUCUUCAGGUUAAAAAGUAACUAAAGAUAUGAACUUUAAAAACAAUUGUUUUUAAAGUUUUAUAUCUUUAGUUACUUUUUAACCUGAAGAUGA